rnacentral:sRNA from 1 species
AAAAACUCGACCAGAAUUGCACAAGUUUCUGCUGCAACCAACCCCGAAAGGUUAGCAAUGAUAAUCAUUAUAUAUCUGGACAUAGAUGAGUUUCGAGCCAUGGAAGAAAUAGAUGAGGCUCCUUUUUUUAUCUUUG